rnacentral:rRNA from 1 species
AUUGAACGCUGGCGGCAUGCUUUACACAUGCAAGUCGAGCGGCAGCGCGGGGGCAACCCUGGCGGCGAGCGGCGAACGGGUGAGUAAUGCAUCGGAACGUACCCUGGAGUGGGGGAUAACGCCGCGAAAGCGGCGCUAAUACCGCAUAUGCUCUGAGGAGGAAAGUGGGGGACCGCAAGGCCUCACGCUCUGGGAGCGGCCGAUGUCCCGAUUAGCUAGUUGGUGGGGUAAAGGCUUACCAAGGCGACGAUCGGUAGCUGGUCUGAGAGGAUGAUCAGCCACACUGGGACUGAGACACGGCCCAGACUCCUACGGAGGCAGCAGUGGGGAAUUUUGGGACAAUGGGGGCAACCCUGAUCCAGCCAUGCCGCGUGAGUGAA